CCUACGGGUGGCAGCAGUGGGGAAUAUUGCACAAUGGGGGAAACCCUGAUGCAGCAACGCCGCGUGAAGGAAGACGGUUUUCGGAUUGUAAACUUCUGUUCUUAGUGAAGAAUAAUGACGGUAGCUAAGGAGCAAGCCACGGCUACCUACGUGCCAGCAGCCGCGGUAAUACGUAGGUGGCAAGCGUUGUCCGGAAUUACUGGGUGUAAAGGGAGCGCAGGCGGGAAGCCAAGUCAGCUGUGAAAACUACGGGCUUAACUUGUAGACUGCAGUUGAAACUGGUUUUCUUGAGUGAAGUAGAGGUUGGCGGAAUUCCGAGUGUAGCGGUGAAAUGCGUAGAUAUUCGGAGGAACACCAGUGGCGAAGGCGGAUGACUGGACGGCAACUGACGGUGAGGCGCGAAAGCGUGGGGAGCAAACAGGAUUAGAUACCCGGGUAGUC
rnacentral:rRNA from 1 species